AUGCCGCAGGUAUCAAGGGCGCGCUUGUGUAGGCGGAGGAGACGUCCCUCGCAACCGGCGAAUGCUGGAUUAGAUGACGACAUCGAGUCCAAAUCGAUUUACUGCGAACCAACCACAGAAGAGGAAGAGGAAGAGGAAGAGGAAGAGGAAGAGGAAGAGGAAGAGGAAGAGGAGGAGGAGGAGGAGGAGGAGGAGGAGGAAGAAGAAGAAGAAGACGAGGAGGAGUUGGCUCCUGAAUCCUCCAUGGAGGAGCAGAAGGAGGACUUCGACCAGCACCGCGAAAACUGGGAAAUCUCAUUCGGCAAAGGCCGGUUCGACUUCGAAGCUCUGACGAUGCUGAGCCCAAUGCUCUUCACACACUGCUCCCCGAGCCGCAUCCCAGGGGAGGCCGUCCUUUCCAAGACCCUUCAGAUAUACUCCAUCAAAAUCGCCAAGACAAAGCACCUCAAGUGGCCGCUUCAAGUGUACGGCGUCGUUGCCGCUCGAGACUAUGUGGAUCACAAACGCAAUAUCCUCUUCUUUCGUCGAAGGGGGCGGAGCCAAACUCUCACCAAGAAAGAUCCUUAUCUGCACUUGACUGGCCCAUCUCGCGCGCUCAUGUGCCGCGAUCCCGUUCACAUAGAAUUCCAACUCAUGGUGAAGGGACAGUCUCGGUCCGAGGAUAGGACGCUCUUCACUCUACCCGUGCAGAUGUACAAUCCUUCCUGGCAUGAUUGGUGUUAUAGGUGCUUCUCCAACUACCUCUGCAAAAUAGAGUUGCGCUUUGAACAACUCGACUGGUCACGCCAGGCCACCAUCUUGUCUGCCCGUGUUACCCAAGGGUCGCCUUUUAAACACGGCGGGCAAAUUGUUUGUCGUGCCUCGCCUUGCGAGGACGAUCCUAAUAAGGAAAUCGUGCUGUUUGAUUCAAAGUAUGGAACAAUGAAUAUGGAAUCCGAUGAAACAAUGUCUAUGGAUUCAGAUGGUUACCUUGCUCUGUUGAGGCGCGUUGUGUCUGUACGAGGAAGGCUCAAAAUUUUCAUCUACACCUACUCCCGCUCUGGUGCUAUCGCUGCUAGUGGCCGUGUCUUGUUCAAAGCCAAGGAUUGCCAAACAAGCCAGGCUACAUGUGUCCUCCACAGCUGCAAGCCAUCUAGAGGGAAAAAGACCUCUUCUAAAGGUAAAGACACUAAGGUGAAGAUUACUGUUGCUUGGUCUCGCUUGGUUAGAAGCAUAAAUGAUAUGAGCCAAAUACCUUUUGACGAUCGUCUCCUGCUUGGCUAUGCCGAUCCAUGA
rnacentral:rRNA from 1 species